GUCUACAGCCAAACCACCCUGAACAAGCCCAAUCUCGUCUGAUCUCGGAAGCUAAGCAGGGUCGGACCUGGUUAGUACUUGGAUGGGAGACCACCUAGGAAGACCAGGUGCUGUAGGUG
rnacentral:rRNA from 1 species